rfam:Sulfolobus solfataricus P2, complete genome.
AGUGAGGAUGACGAAUCCGGGAACUGAUCAGUGAGGACAUGCGCGAACGCUGAUU